rnacentral:tRNA from 1 species
GCCUGAGUGGCUCAGUUGGUAGAGCUUCUGCCUUUGGCUCAGGUCACAAUCUCAGGGUCCCAGGAUCGAGUCCUGCAUCAGGCU